AAGCAUAUCAAUAAGCGGAGGAAAAGAAACCAACCGGGAUUGCCUCAGUAACGGCGAGUGAAGCGGCAAGAGCUCAAAUUUGAAAGCUGGCCCCUCCGGGGUCCGCGUUGUAAUUUGCAGAGGAUGCUUCGGGCUCAGCCCCCGUCUAAGUGCCCUGGAACGGGCCGUCGGAGAGGGUGAGAAUCCCGUCUGGGACGGGGUGCCUGGGUCCAUGUGAAGCUCCUUCGACGAGUCGAGUUGUUUGGGAAUGCAGCUCUAAAUGGGUGGUAAAUUUCAUCUAAAGCUAAAUACUGGCCGGAGACCGAUAGCGCACAAGUAGAGUGAUCGAAAGAUGAAAAGCACUUUGAAAAGAGAGUUAAACAGCACGUGAAAUUGUUGAAAGGGAAGCGCUUGCGAUCAGACUCGCCUGCGGGGUUCAGCCGGCAUUCGUGCCGGUGUACUUCCCCGUGGGCGGGCCAGCGUCGGUUCGGGUGGCCGGUCAAAGGCCCCGGGAAUGUGUCGCCCUCCGGGGCGUCUUAUAGCCCGGGGUGCCAUGCGGCCUACCUGGACCGAGGAACGCGCUUCGGCUCGGACGCUGGCGUAAUGGUCGUAAGCGACCCGUCUUGAAACACGGACCAAGGAGUCUAACAUCUACGCGAGUGUUUGGGUGGCAAACCCAUACGCGCAGUGAAAGCGAACGGAGGUGGGAACCCUUCGGGGCGCACCAUCGACCGAUCCUGAUGUCUUCGGAUGGAUUUGAGUAAGAGCGUAGCUGUGGGGACCCGAAAGAUGGUGAACUAUGCCUGAAUAGGGCGAAGCCAGAGGAAACUCUGGUGGAGGCUCGCAGCGGUUCUGACGUGCAAAUCGAUCGUCAAAUUUGGGUAUAGGGGCGAAAGACUAAUCGAACCAUCUGGUAGCUGGUUCCUG
rnacentral:rRNA from 1 species